UACGGAGGGUGCGAGCGUUAAUCGGAAUUACUGGGCGUAAAGGGUGCGUAGGUGGUUUGAUAAGUUAUCUGUGAAAGCCCUGGGCUCAACCUGGGAAGGCCAGAUAAGACUGUUAGACUGGAGUAUGGGAGAGGGUAGUGGAAUUUCCGGUGUAGCGGUGAAAUGCGUAGAUAUGUGGAGGAACGUCAGUGGCGAAGGCGGCUUCCUGGCUUAAAACUGACACUGUGGCGCGAAAGCGUGGGUAGCAAACAGG
rnacentral:rRNA from 1 species